AGUGAACGCUGGCGGUAGGCCUAACAUAUGCAAGUCGAACGGCAGCACAGUAAGAGCUUGCUCUUACGGGUGGCGAGUGGCGGACGGGUGAGGAAUACAUCGGAAUCUACUUUUUCGUGGGGGAUAACGUAGGGAAACUUACGCUAAUACCGCAUACGACCUACGGGUGAAAGCUGGGGAUCUUCGGACCUUGCGCGAUUGAAUGAGCCGAUGUCGGAUUAGCUAGUUGGCGGGGUAAAGGCCCACCAAGGCGACGAUCCGUAGCUGGUCUGAGAGGAUGAUCAGCCACACUGGAACUGAGACACGGUCCAGACUCCUACGGGAGGCAGCAGUGGGGAAUAUUGGACAAUGGGCGCAAGCCUGAUCCAGCCAUACCGCGUGGGUGAAGAAGGCCUUCGGGUUGUAAAGCCCUUUUGUUGGGAAAGAAAAGCAGCAGGUUAAUACCCCGCUGUUCUGACGGUACCCAAAGAAUAAGCACCGGCUAACUUCGUG
rnacentral:rRNA from 1 species